CCUACGGGUGGCAGCAGUGAGGAAUAUUGGUCAAUGGCCGCAAGCCUGAACCAGCCAAGUCGCGUGAAGGAAGAAGGACCUAUGGUUUGUAAACUUCUUUUAUAGGGGAAUAAAGGUAUCCACGUGUGGAUUUUUGCAUGUACCUUAUGAAUAAGCAUCGGCUAACCCCGUGCCAGCAGCCGCGGUAAUACGGAGGAUGCGAGCGUUAUCCGGAUUUAUUGGGUUUAAAGGGUGCGUAGGUUGGUGUUUGAGUCAGCGGUGAAAGUUUGUGGCUCAACCAUAAAAUUGCCGUUGAAACUGGAAGACUAGAGUGUGUUUGAGGUAGGCGGAAUGCGUGGUGUAGCGGUGAAAUGCAUAGAUAUGACGAAGAACUCCGAUUGCGAAGGCAGCUUACUAGGCAAUGACUGACACUGAGGCGCGAAAGCGUGGGGAUCAAACAGGAUUAGAUACCCCAGUAGUC
rnacentral:rRNA from 1 species